rnacentral:piRNA from 1 species
AUCGCUGCUGAAAAUGGUUCUUG